UGGAUGUUAGAAGACAACUUGCAAGAGUCAGUUUUCUCCUUCGGCCAUGUGGGUCCUGGGAUUCGAACUCAGGUCAUUGGGCUUGGCAGUAAGCACCUUCACCUACUGACUCAUCAUCCCAAUCCCUUUAUUCUUUCCCUUUAUCAGGAAGAAAUACAUUGUCUCUUCCAGCUCUAACACUCUAUGACUACCAUCGAUCCAGAAAAAAAAAUGUAAACUCCCAUUAUGAAAAUCACCAUCCAGCCAUUCAGAGCCGGUUCCAGACCUAAAGCUAGCAGGACCAGGAUACGCAGGAAGUGUCUCCAGAAGUGAGCAGAAGGGCGGUCUCCACAGGAGCAGCUCUGACUUAGUCAGAUGGUGAACAGGGAUGGAGAACUCGGACACGGAUGCCUCCAUGACUUGCUCUUCCCAGGCUGGCUGCUUUCCAAAAUACCCGGUCAGCUCAAUAUGCUACCCUCACCACUCCCGAUCUCUAACUGGCCCCUUCUAGCACAGAAGCUGACAAAACCCACCACGAGGCACAGUCCCAGUUCUGCUUGACAAGUUCUGAAUGUGAUGGUCCACUUAGGACCGGAUGUUCUGUUGCAGAAACAGAUAAAAGGCAGCUGUGCAGCAAUACUACCUCGCUGUUCUUACGGCACAUCUCACUGUGGAUUUCCUACGCGGCCGCCUACGCAGGAAGCCAGGGCAGAGGAAUCAGAGAAAGGCCUACUUUAGGUUUCCAGGAACCUGGAAGAACGCAUCCUGCCCACCGGCCAGGGCUCUUUUGAAGAAAUGGUGUGAAAAUUGCCCGGAUCCUUGUUCCCUCAAAGCAUCUCAGAAGCAAACUGCAGGAAGUGGUGGAUUCCGACAUAAAGGACAUCGUUUGCCUGCCUUAUUAUCUCAUUUUCCAGCAGGGCUGACAGGACAGCUGCCUGUUAUUACCGAGCACACCAGGAAGUGAUUUGCUGCCAAACAGAAAAGAGGAGGAGAGGGAUUAGCGUGCUCACGCCACACAAACGGACCUCUUGCACCUGGAAAAAACUGAGGGAGAGAGGAGUGUGAAAACCAUGCCAGGAAUCGAGUCACAAGCCACAGAGAGCCCCGCAAGCCGUCUUCCUGACUCCACAGGCUGCUAGCCCAACAGCCAUCCCACAACUUGUGCAAGGCUUCCCUGAGGUGCUGCUGUGAGGUUUGGAAUAAGCGUGUUGAAUUAGAUCCACCAUAACUAAGCCACCAUUCAAUGCCACGAUGUCUUACCAUGUCCCCUUGGGAGACACGGCAGCAUGGUUGUUUGGAUCUAAGAUCAAAUGCUGCUCAAUUUACUUACUCCACAGAAUAAUAGACCCCCAACCCUGCCUGUUUGCAAAGGGGUGGCUUUUCGUUCAUUUACCCACUCAUUCACCCCUUGAGGGAGCACAGGCCACUGAGGCUAUUCUGUGGGCUUCUGAAAUGGAUGCAGGCAAAACCAGAGUUCCUUUUAAAUGACCAUGAAACAAAAAGAUGGCCACAUCAUUUUUGGAACAAAACCUAGAGGGAGAAGAUGAUCUUUCCUUCCACUCCCUCAGCUUGCUGUCCCUGGGUCCCCAUUCCCACAGAAGGAGCUGUGGGUUGCGGCUGCUAGCCUGCUAAUUCCGAACACCCCUGCGCUGGAAUUUGGAAGGAAUGUGUGCAGUGCUCAAUACAAAGCUCAUUUGGCUUCAGGGACCAUUUUAAUUAAAUUAAUUAUCUCUAGAAGAAACACUUAAAGCUGUUUAGGCCUAAACAAUAGGUACUUGUUCUCAGUUCUAAUAUGAGCCCGUUGUUCAGAGCAUCCUUUUGGCGAGUUGAGGACAAUAUCUUACCAGAUACUUAAAAAGGCAUACACCCCAUGCUCUGUCGUGCACAGAGACAUUUACAGACAGCUGACAGAUGCCCUGCACACCUACAAACACACUCCCCUUGGCCGUUCAUCCCACCCUUCUCAGUUGGUCUGUCUUGCAUUCUCAAUAGUCCCCAGGACUAUCUUCCGCUUUUUGGGAAGGGAAAAAAAAAAAAAGGCAGAAGGGUGAAUGCAGCAUCCCUGAGGCAUUGGAGAGCAUCACCUCUGUGGCCUGUGCCCCUCCUGCCGCCUUCCCCCCUCACACACCCUUCAAGAGCACCAGGCUGAUCGUCAACUGGAUGGAGGCAAAAGAAAGGAGUGACGUGGCUCGCUCCUGUCAUUCUAGGACCUUUUUUUUUGCAAUGGCAAAGCAAGGAAUUGAAAUAAACUAGCAUCCUUCAUCCCACACCUCAUUCCCUGGUCCUUGCAGCUGGCGACUGUCCCUGGGAACAAGCCAGCAGAAGAGCCUCCUUACCCCGAGAGGCAUUUUUCAGAGCCAUGCACUAUCGGGGAGAGUUGCUUUUGUGAGGGCUUUCUGUGGAUGUUUUCCUGAGUGGAGACCUUUCUGUGUAACUCCAUCCUCAUGCCUCAGCUCCCCAAAUGGCUGAGAUUACAGGCAUGUCAUUACAAGUCUGAAUUAUGCUGUUUUUGUUGCUGUAGAAGCUCACUCUUAAGCCCACACUGGACUGGAACUCAUGAUCUUCCUACCUCAGUCUCCCAAGUUUGGGAAUGACAGGAAAAAAAAUAGCUCUCUGCAUCGUGUUUUAUUAAGUUCUCCUUGAAGGGAGAAUAGAAUACAGCAACACUUCCUCCCGGGACCCUACAUCCUUGAUAUAGUAAACUGCAUCAAAGUCCCUGGACUCCUCAGCAGAGUUGUGAGUGGUCAUGCUGGGCCGAGCUUUGGCCUCUGUUCUUUGGAGUCUUUUAAUAAGUGACCAGAGAGCAGAGAGCAGUGAAGAGUCGAAGAGUUGAUUGAUGCUGGCAGGAUUGGGUUUGCCAAGAUGAGUGCAAUGCUAAGGGGUGGAGCUUUUCUAAUCAGGUUUCCAUAAUAUUACUGUGCACUUGGUGUUGGGGUGAUGGCCAAAGGCCAGGCUGGCCCCUUCUAGCUUCUACUGUUCAUAGUUAUCCCUCUACAAGUUGGAUGUGGCCGGGCGGUGGUGGUGCAUGACUUUAAUUCCAGCACUUGGGAGGCAGAGUCAGGCGAAUCUCUGUGAGUUCGAGGCCAGCCUGGUCUACACAGCGAGAUCCAGGACAGGCACCAAAACAACACAGAGAAACCCUGUCUGAAACCCCCCCACCAAAAAAAGUCAGAUGUGGUCUGCAGCAUAGUGGUACCUCUAGGAUGCUCUAACUAAAAUGGUAAAUAAUAACAAUCUCAGAAUUAUUUUAAUUUGCUUUCAAUAUAUUCUAAUUCAUUAAUAACAGACAGAUGUGUGAGUCAAAACCUUGUCACAGGGACAGAAUGCCUAACAUGCACAACUGGAGAGGAAAGAUUUAUCUUGGUUCCAUCUCAAGGUUUUGGUCCAUCCUGGCAGGGAAGGUAUAAUCAAUGACCUUCUGAUAGUGUGAUAAAACACCAUAACCAAAAGCCACAUAUGCGAGAAAACAUUUAUUUGGUCUUCCAGUUCCAGAGGGAUAAAGAGUCCGUCAUGGUUGAAGGCAUGGCAGCCAGGGCAUCUACUGAAUGAAUGGUGGUCACAUCUGAGAGAUCAUCUCUUCAAAUGCAAACAUAAAACAGAGAGAAAACUGGAAGUAGGGUGAGGCUAUUUCCUCUCAAAGCCCACCCUCAGUGACAUAGUUUUACCAGCAAGGCCACACCCUCUCAACCUCCCCAAAUGGUACCACCAAUUGGGGACCGAGUGUUCGAAUACCUGAGCCUGUAGGGACCCUUCUCGUUCAAAGCACCACAGGGGGGAACAGGAGACCAGCCAGGAAGCACUGGACCAAAGCAGAACCAAAUCCAGCAUGGCAGAAAAUUGUGGAGCUUGUGGUAUUGUGGUUGGGUCUGCAACAUGUUUGGGCAUGCGCUCUUACGGCCUUGUUUACAGCCCACGUGGCCUCUUCUUUUAGCUGGCUCCCCUCCUUGCCCGCAGCUUGACUUGACAGACAGUCCAUGGACCUGGCAUCUCUAACAUCCCGGGGCCUCAAUUCCUAGUUAGGCUUCACCCUCAUAGCUUCACUGCUGUCUUGGGGGCUACCUGCAGAGUUUCUGACCCCAUCACACAUUACUUGGUUUUCACGGCUUUCCUUUGGAAUCUGGUUGGAGACCCCUAUGACUUUGCAAGGCGUGCAUUCUGUAUACCUGCAACACUAGCAUCAUAUGGGUAAUGCCCAAGUCUAUCGUCAGACUCAACACUAUCCAGACUGUGGUCAUAUUUUAUUUGUGCUCUAACAAAUAAAGCUUGCCUGCGGAUCUGAGGACAAAGCCAGCCACUAUAUUAAACAUAGAGGUCAGGCAGUGGUAGCACAUGCCUUUAAUCCUAGCAUUUGGGAGGCAGAGAUUUAUCCGGAUCUCUGUAAGUUCAAGGCCACACUGGGAACAGAGCAAGUUGUGGUGUCACACACCUUGAAUCCCAGCACUAGUUACCUAUAGAGGUCUGGAGGUCUGGACAGACAGGAAGUGAUAGAGCUGGGCAGAAAGAGGAAGUGAUGUAGCUGGGUAGAGAGAAGUAUAUAGGUGUGAGUAUACAGGAAGUAGCUCUCUCUUGGGCUGAGGAUUUCCUAGCGGUAAGAACUUGUUCUGUCCCUCUGACCUUUCAGCUUUCCCCCCAAUAUCUGGCUCUGGGUUUUUUAUUAAUAAGACCAUUUAGCAAUUCACUUUACACCAGACCCUUUGGGGUUCUUGGUGGUGGUGGUUGUAGUGGUGUUUUGUUCUGUUUUUGAGACACAGUCUUACCAUGAAGCUCUGACUGGCCUGGAACUCACUAUGUAGACCAGGCUGACCCUGGAACUCAUGGAGAUCCAUUUGCCUUUGCCUCCUGGAUGCUGGAAUCAAAUGUGUGUAUACUGCCGCGAGUAGCUUUCCAGACCCUCUUGAACACAGCUGCAGCGGCCUCUGAGAGCAGAAGCUGAGCAUGAGUCGUGUGGAAACAAAUGUCUAGGCAGCCCUGUACAAACAGGUCACCUUGUAGGUCUUCUCUUCCCAAGGGCAAGCCUUCGACACACAGGGUCUGGCUAGCCCCUGAGAUGCCCGUCGUCUUUCUUACUGUCCAAACGCCAAGUGUUUCCCUUCUAUUUAGUCGUGCUAAUCUCAACCCUGCCUCCCUUAGCCCCCAAUGGACCCUGGCAUUUCUGAAAAUCUACAAGUGUUUCAACCCUAUUUUGCGCCUCAAACCUGGCUAAAAGCAGCUAAAAAUAUCCACAGCACGGCUUAGAUGCUGGCUUGCUUUGAAAUGCCCACCAGACUAACCGGCUCAUCACUUUAGACUCAAAUGAUCGUCUCAGCUCUGUGGCAAUCCUGCCCCCCAUCUUCUUUGUUUCUCCUUGGGGCAUUAGAGGUUGAACCCAGGGCCUUGAGUAGUCUCAGCAUAUACUCUGCUGCUGAGCUACACACAACAUCUUCUGCUCCUCGAUUUUGGCCCUAGAAAAAUGGGCCUUGUUUAUCCUACCUCUCUGUGUGUUCGUUACAUUCCUUAUUCAUUGUUCCUCAUACACAUUCCUUAUUCAUUGUUCACUGGAAGAAGCUGUGAAGCCUGGCAGGGUGACGUAAGCUCAUCGUCCCAGUGCUUGGGAGGCCAAGGCAGGAGGGCCACCCAAACUACACAGUGAGUCUCAGAAAGCCAAUAAUAGUAACAACAGUAAUAGUCUCCAAACCUUGUCAGAGAGGGCUCAGGGUGCAGCUCACCAGUGUUGGAGAACUCACUCUGCUUACACAAGGCCCUACAUUCAAUCCCAGCACUAUUUUUUUUUUAUUUUUUUAUUUAUUUUUUUUUUUUUGGUUUUUUGAGACAGGGUUUCUCUGUGUAGCUUUGCACCUUUUCCUGGAACUCACUUGGUAGGCCAGGCUGGCCUCGAUCUCACAGAGAUCCGCCUGGCUCUGCCUCCCGAGUGCUGGGAUUAAAGGCGUGUGCUACCACCACCUGGCUAUUUUUUUUUAAAAGCCAAUUCCUUCAGGGUGAAAAGAUGUUAAUACAUCACCAUAGGCCAAAAGGAAAAAAAUCAAGAUAAUGCCUUGCUAUUGAAACCUCUUCCUUCAUGUUGAGUAUUUGAUUUGACCCUUGAUUUAAAUGAAUAAGUGUAUUUCUCUCAUGUGGCAAAUAAAAUGGGAUAUAUGGCACACAUGGGAAAUGAAGGGAGGCGAGAUGAAGGUGGAUCCACCGUGCAAAUGUGGAACUCUGUUGUGGGAUAUUUGUACACUGUGUGAAGAUACAUUGCUGUGACUGGUUUAAUAGAGAGCUGAACAGCCAAUAGCAGCAGGUAUGGGUGGGACUUCGGAAGACAGAGAGGACUCUGGGAAGAAGAAGGGUGGAGUUGCCAGCCAGAGAGGAAACAGAAGGUACAAGAUGAAAGAGAAGUAAUGCCACGUAACAGAAUGUUGAUUAAUAUAAAUGGGUUAAUUUAAGUUAUAAGAGCUAAUUGAGACAAGCCUAAGCUAAAGGUCAAGCUUUUGUAAUUAAUAAGAAGCCCCUGUGUCAUUAUUUGGGGCUGGUAGUGGGAAAGAAAGUUGUCCAAUAUGCUGUCCAAUGUGGAGACUCAAAUAUAUGUUGGCAGAGAGGUUACACCUUUGUUUCCACAGGAAACAAAAACUUAUGGUUUUCUUCAAAAUUAAUUAAGAUCAGAUUUGAUCAGGGGAGACCUCCUGAAAUCUUGACUACAGACAUGAAAAAAGAAACCAAAAAAGGCUACAGGACAGGUGAUAUAUAUGCUGAUCCUUCUCCUAUGGGAACAGCUCUGAGACUGGAUGAGACAUGAUUAAUCUUGUUGGCUACAGAAUCCUCAUGACUUAUUAUUACAUGCCACCCUUUCAUAUGGCAUGGGUAGAGGUUUGGUUAUAUAGUCCAAACAGACUUAUAAAGUUGACAAAUACCUUUUACCUGCUCAAACAUAAAACAAAAAAAUCAUCUUUAACUGACUCAUGCACACUUGUAUUAAUGCAGAUAUAUAUGUUACCUUUAAAAGUGUAUGUGUUUUUUUGGGGGGGGUGGGGGAGACCAGAUACCAAUAAAGACAAGUAGCCCAGGUGAUCCAGCCUCUCAAUGCCUCUGUUAAAGUUUUCUCAAAAGUCUACAUCCAGAACAACUUCAAAGCUGCUAGCUGAAAUGGUCCAGCCUUGGAGAUUAUUCAGCUAAGACUUCAGAGAAGCUCUAUACUUUGCCAUCACACAGAGAUGGAAAAUAAGCAAAAAAAUAAUACUGCUACUCUCCCAAGACUUGAGCAUUAUCCAAAUUUUCUCAGGGUCCCCUAAAGAGCCCAUCUCCCCCAGAGAAAAGGAAGCAGUCUAGAGAAUAUGACACCCACAUUCCCAAGAGGUAGAUGGUUUUUGAUCAUUUGGUGGGUUAUGGAUGAUUGUCAUUGUUUAGGGGAGGUUGGUUACAAGUUGUUACUGGUCAUGGUCAGGAAAAAAGCUGAACAAAAGAUACUAGAUUAGAUUCAGGGAUCUCUUUUUGAAGGGAGAAAGGGGGGAUAUAGUAUAGAAAUGAUGGGAUAAAAGGGUGGAUUGCUUAGUCUACUUUUGAACAACUUCAAAUAUUUUACAUUGAUAUGAAUUUUUGUAUAUUGAUACAAAUUUAAGGUUUUAUUGUUAGAACAUACUCUAUAUAUGUUUCUACUCUUAAGAUAUUUAUGUAUAGUGACAUAAAUUUAAGGUUAUUUUUGUUGUACUACACAUGUUUCUAUUCUUGUAUAAGGUAUUGUAUCUAUGCAGCUCAUUUAAAAAUGUAAAGUUCUAGUCCUUGUAAGCUAUUUAGGAUAAUUAAGAAAUACAGGUUAGUAUUUAGUCAUCUAUAAUAAUCAAACUUGUAGUCAUGUUAGAUAUGUUUUCAAAGUUAAACAGAAAUAUAUUUUAGAUAGAUAAAUGGAUUUCUAACACUUCAGAAAUCUACAGAAUAUGGCAUUUAAAAUAUUUUAAUAACAUAAGGCUUUUCAUGACAGUGAGAUACAUCUGCUCCCGGCAGCACCAAUUUACUUCAAAGAAGAUGAAGGGCAUCAAAAAAACCCUCCAUCUGGAGUUUGCAUUCAAUGUGACAAAGGUAGCCAUUUGGGCAAGAAACUGCCCUUACCUCAACUGCUGACAGUAUGCUGUCCAUACUGGACAAGCAGAACACAAAAGAAAGUGACUGCUGAAAUUUGCCAAGACAAGAUAGGGCAGUCCUUCAAAAUUCUUGCUUGACAGAAAAGCCUGUCAGACAUUCUAGGCCUGUAGGGUGAAGAAAGAUGCCCCAACACUACAGAGGAACCUUGGGUAACUGUCUAGGCAGCCAGUUGUUUCUGUCAUUUCUAUAAUUUUUUUGGAAGUUGCUUGUUUACACUUCCUGUUUAUUCAGGUAAUAUUAUAUCCUUCGUGGGUCUAUUGAUGGGAUUGAAGAUGAAAUAGUUAUAGUUACAAUUUUUCAUGUUACAAACGUCAGUAAAGAAACUCAUAAAAGAGGUAUAAAGUGUAUAAGGUUGAGAGACAUAAAAGCUUAAAUCAUUUAUCUAAGAAAAUGUUUUGAGGUCUAAAAUGAUAGUUUUAGGAUGGUAAUACAAGUUAUGAUAGAAAAUGGUUUAGGUAUAAAACUUUAAAUUUAUCAAAAUAAGAUAGAUAAUAGAGUAUUUUCUCUGAAUAUGCCAAAUACAAAUGGACUGGACAUUGUGGAUGUAAUUCUUACCUGACAGUUGUUCUUAUUGUAUAUUAGUUUUACUAUGUUAGAGUUAAAACCUUUCCUUUUAAUUUAGACAAAAAGGGGGAAAUGUGUGAUAUUUGUACACUGUGUGAAGAUAUAUUGCUGUGAUUGUUUUAAUAAAGAAUUGAAUGGUCAGUAGCUAGGCGGGAGAUAUAGGUGAAACUUCCAAGUAGAGAGAGGAAGGAGGACAUAAUCAAGGCACAGAGGAGAUGCCAACAAGACAAGGAGAGAGUCGGACAUACAGAAUGAAAGAAAGGUAAAAAGCCUGGCUACAUAGUAAGACUCUGUCUCAAAGAAAUCAAAACCAUAAUAUGUAUCUUUACAUCCAGAACACACAACACACAGCUGAGCAAUUAUGCUCAGAAUACUUCUAUCAUUAAUUCCUUAAAAUAUAAGGAAUAUUUCCUGGAGUUUAUGUGUGUAGAUAUUUAGUAGGGUCCAUUUAACUUAAUGUUUCAGUCGUAUGUAUAAAUAAAUUAAUAUCUGUAAAACAUUGUUUUAAACUGUUAAAAUUUCAAAUCAUAAAAGAACAUGUUUUGGUCAAAAGACACUGAGUUCAUAAAAAUACUAUUUUAGCACUGUAACUUCAUGUCACUGAAUAGUUAACAUAUUUAUAUUAUACACAAAAGCUCUCAGAAAAUAUCUUAUGUAGUCCUGGCCAAUGGACAUGUCAUUGUUACUGAUGACAAUCCCUCUGGGGGACCUUCUCUGUCAUUUCUCAGGCACCUGUUUAUCAAUGACCCUUGAACGGCAGCCCACUACACAACCAGUUCUCUAUAGCUUUUGUUUGUUCUUCCAAUGCCUGAGUCUCUUCCAUUAUUCAGCCUCUUCCAGCUCUACCAGGCAUUCAGGAGCUGUAUGUACUUUCACAGAACUUCCUUAAAUAUAACUUGUUUCAAAGAAUAAGCUAGAACAGAACAGUUCCACCAUAAUAUCCAGUGAAUAUGAAUUGUUAAAUGCUACAUAUUUUGGUACUGCCACCAUUCCCAGGGUAUUUCAUUUCUAUCCAUGUGAUACAAAACUAGAGGGUAAGUCUGUGGAGCACUGCUCUACCACCGGGCUGAGCAGCAACGCUCACAACACCCUUCUUUAUUACCAAGCCUUUGUUACAUAUGGGUGUUUCAUGGGGGUUCAUGUGUGCAGAUCAUUAGUGGGGUUUGUUGGAAUUAACAUUUCAGUUAGCUUAUACUUUAAAAUAAAAAUCAUAUUCAAUGGUAAAGAAACAGGACAUAGUUUGCACCACAUUACUCACUUGGAGAACUCAAUGAGCACACACACACACACCAAUAUCUAUAGCUAUCUUUAUAAUUUAAGAUGUUAAUGAAAUGUUAAUUUUUCAAUACAAAAUUCAUGAGUGUUCAUCCUUCAGCUGCAUUGUGCCCAACUUUGUAGUAGUCCUUAGUGAUUUCUAUUAGCCCCCAAAGUCUCUCUUAGCGCCUUUAGCCUUUCGCUUGUCUCACUGACACCAAAGAAGACACUUUGUAACAACCAUGAGAAUGGAAGCAAUGAAACAAUUUCAAUCUGGAAAACAACA